rnacentral:rRNA from 1 species
GCAGUCGAGAAUCUUCGGCAAUGGGCGCAAGCCUGACCGAGCGAUGCUGCGUGGAUGAUGAAGGUCUUCGGAUUGUAAAAUCCUGUUAGAAGCUAGGAAAUGCGUAUAUCUUAAUAAGUAAUACGUUUGACAUAAACUUCAGAGAAAGCCACGGCUAAAUUCGUGCCAGCAGCCGCGGUAAUACGAAUGUGGCGAACGUUAUUCGGAACUACUGGGCGUAAAGGGCGUGUAGGCGGCGUAUAUAGUCUGAUGUGAAAUCUCUCAGCUCAACUGAGAAAUGUCGUUGGAAACUGAUAUGCUAGAGUUCGAUAGGGGAAAGCGGAACUCCAUGUGGAGCGGUGAAAUGCGUAGAUAUGUGGAGGAACGCCGGUGGCGAAAGCGGCUUUCUGGAUCGGAACUGACGCUGAGGCGCGAAAGCCAGGGUAGCGAACGGGAUUAGAUACCCCGGUAGUCCUGGCUGUAAACGAUGGGUACUAGGUAGUAGUGGAGUAAGUGCCAUUACUGCCGGAGCAAACGCGUUAAGUACCCCGCCUGGGGAGUACGACCGCAAGGUUGAAACUCAAAGGAAUUGACGGGGGCUCACACAAGCGGUGGAGCAUGUGGUUUAAUUCGAAGCAACGCGAAGAACCUUACCAGGAUUUGACGUGUAGGUGGUACAGAUAUGAAAGUUGACGGACCUGAGCAAUCAGGAGCCUAUACAGGUGUUGCAUGGCUGUCGCCAGCUCGUGCCGUGAGGUGUCGAGUUAAGUCUCUUAACGAGCGAAACCCUUGCCACUAGUUACCAGCGCGUAAUGGCGGGGACUCUAGUGGGACUGCCGCGUAAAAGUUGGAGGAAGGUGGGGACGACGUCAAGUCAUCAUGGCCCUUAUGUCCUGGGCUACACACGUGCUACAAUGGUCGUGACAGAGGGAAGCGAGUCCGUGA